AACGAACGCUGGCGGCAUGCCUAAUACAUGCAAGUCGAACGAGAUCUUCGGAUCUAGUGGCGCACGGGUGCGUAACGCGUGGGAAUCUGCCCUUGGGUUCGGAAUAACUUCUGGAAACGGAAGCUAAUACCGGAUGAUGACGUAAGUCCAAAGAUUUAUCGCCCAAGGAUGAGCCCGCGUAGGAUUAGGUAGUUGGUGAGGUAAAGGCUCACCAAGCCGACGAUCCUUAGCUGGUCUGAGAGGAUGAUCAGCCACACUGGGACUGAGACACGGCCCAGACUCCUACGGGAAGCAGCAGUAGGGAAUAUUGGACAAGGGGCGAAAGCCUGAUCCAGCAAUGCCGCGUGAGUGAUGAAGGCCUUAGGGUUGUAAAGCUCUUUUACCCGGGAUGAUAAUGACAGUACCGGGAGAAUAAGCUCCGGCUAACUCCGUG
rnacentral:rRNA from 1 species